AGUUUGAUCCUGGCUCAGGAUGAACGCUAGCUACAGGCUUAACACAUGCAAGUCGCGGGGCAGCAUGUUGGUUGCUUGCAACCGAUGAUGGCGACCGGCGCACGGGUGAGUAACGCGUAUCCAACCUACCUAUUACCACGGGAUAACCCGGCGAAAGUCGGACUAAUACCGUAUGUGGUCUUCAAGUGGCAUCAGCAGUAGACUAAAGGUUUUGCGGUAAUAGAUGGGGAUGCGUCCGAUUAGUUAGUUGGCGGGGUAACGGCCCACCAAGACAUCGAUCGGUAGGGGUUCUGAGAGGAAGGUCCCCCACACUGGAACUGAGACACGGUCCAGACUCCUACGGGAGGCAGCAGUGAGGAAUAUUGGUCAAUGGGCGUAAGCCUGAACCAGCCAAGUAGCGUGCAGGAUGACGGCCCUAUGGGUUGUAAACUGCUUUUAUGCGGGGAUAAAGUGGCCCACGUGUGGGCUUUUGCAGGUACCGCAUGAAUAAGGACCGGCUAAUUCCGUGCCAGCAGCCGCGGUAAUACGGAAGGUCCGGGCGUUAUCCGGAUUUAUUGGGUUUAAAGGGAGCGUAGGCCGCGCCUUAAGCGUGUUGUGAAAUCCGGUUGCUCAACAUCCGGCUUGCAGCGCGAACUGGGGCGCUUGAGUGCGCAGAAAGUAGGCGGAAUUCGUGGUGUAGCGGUGAAAUGCUUAGAUAUCACGAGGAACUCCGAUUGCGAAGGCAGCCUACUGUAGCGCUACUGACGCUGAUGCUCGAAAGCGUGGGUAUCGAACAGGAUUAGAUACCCUGGUAGUCCACGCGGUAAACGAUGGAUGCUCGUUGUCGGCCCUUCGGGUCGGUGACCAAGCGAAAGCGUUAAGCAUCCCACCUGGGGAGUACGCCGGCAACGGUGAAACUCAAAGGAAUUGACGGGGGCCCG
rnacentral:rRNA from 1 species